rnacentral:rRNA from 1 species
AUUGAACGCUGGCGGCAUGCCUUACACAUGCAAGUCGAACGGUAACAGGUCUUCGGAUGCUGACGAGUGGCGCACGGGUGAGUAAUACAUCGGAACGUGCCCGAUCGUGGGGGAUAACGAAGCGAAAGCUUUGCUAAUACCGCAUACGAUCUACGGAUGAAAGCGGGGGAUCUUCGGACCUCGCGCGGACGGAGCGGCCGAUGGCAGAUUAGGUAGUUGGUGGGAUAAAAGCUUACCAAGCCGACGAUCUGUAGCUGGUCUGAGAGGAUGAUCAGCCACACUGGGACUGAGACACGGCCCAGACUCCUACGGGAGGCAGCAGUGGGGAAUUUUGGACAAUGGGCGCAAGCCUGAUCCAGCCAUGCCGCGUGCAGGAUGAAGGCCUUCGGGUUGUAAACUGCUUUUGUACGGAACGAAAAGGUGCCUUCUAAUAAAGGGCGCUCAUGACGGUACCGUAAGAAUAAGCACCGGCUAACUACGUG